CUCCUUCUAUGCUCCUUCCCUCCACUCUGUUUCCUCCCAUCCGGAAAACCUCUCAGUCUUCCAACAGAAGAGAAAUGUGCAGCUUUGAGAAGGAGAGUGGGAAAAAUGGCAGUGGCUAUGAUGAUGACACUGGAAAACGAGAGGAGCUGAGGUCAAAGGGAAAAAGGUGUAAGGCUUCCUUGCUGUAUCCCACUGAAGGGGAUAAGAAGAAGGAAUCACUGUGUCUCCCUCUGAUCCCCCCGAUACGCAGGGCAGUAAGUCCCGAUGUUGGCAGUGCUGCAGGGUCUCUGCAAAGCUCUCUGCAGCUGGAUGUGCAAGAGUCCCAGGAGAUGAGGUAAGCCAAGGUGUCUGCUGCUCCAGUGUGCUGUUCACCUCACUCUUCCCAUCUCGUGAGGUUAUUUUGCACAGUCAGCUCUCCCAUGUAUUUAGGCAAACCUCUGUGUAUUCAGCAUUUGGCCCUAUCUGUGGUGAUCCAGCCCAAUGUCAAACCCACCACCAUAUGGCCCAAGAGCAGAGGUGGUGGUGGUAGGGAAGAGGAGGCAGGGCUGAAAGGCUCCUCAAGACAGGUCCUCUUCUGGACCUGGCUGUUGAUUCCCUCUGUAAUGUUUGUGGUGUCAUUUGGGAACUGUAUUGCAUGGGUCUGGAUGCUGCAGAUCUUUGAACACUGUGAUCCUUCACUGUCAACUUCUGCAGCCACAUUAACAUGUUUGGGCAAAUACUGGCUACUUUAGAGGUGUCUGGAAAUUUGGGUGUUGUUUCUGUAAAUGUCAGAUGUAACUUCUCUGUGCCUGGACCUCCACUGUGAAAUGAGAUCCCAGAUAAAUUCUGGGGUAUAGAUGUAUAAUCCGAUCAAUGUCUAAUAUUAAGGUCAAGGCUUAAGAUCAGAGAAGGCGAGCUGCUAGAGAAGAGUAAUAGGACUAUACCUGAUGGGAAGAUAUUGGCUUGGAGAAAUGUGAGAAAAUGUAGCUGUCAAGCUUGUCUGAGUGAUAACAAUAAAGGAGUCACAGAAGUAUCA
rnacentral:lncRNA from 1 species